rnacentral:rRNA from 1 species
UACGUAGGGGGCAAGCGUUGUCCGGAAUCAUUGGGCGUAAAGCGCGUGUAGGCGGCCCGGUAAGUCCGCUGUGAAAGUCGGGGGCUCAACCCUCGGAUGCCGGUGGAUACUGUCGGGCUAGAGUGCGGGAGAGGCGAGUGGAAUUCCUGGUGUAGCGGUGGAAUGCGCAGAUAUCAGGAGGAACACCGAUGGCGAAGGCAGCUCGCUGGGACGGUACUGACGCUGAGGCGCGAAAGCGUGGGGAGCGAACAGG